AUGAGGCAUUAAGGUGAAGCCCUAUCUGACCAUCCAGGUUGAUGUUAAGAGCAGAGAGUUCUUCCGAUGUCUUGGUCAACACUCCUCCUGAAAUGAAAACACUUCGAAGAGUUCAUAUUCAGGUUAGGGAUAUUGCCAGAAAAGCCAGAACACUUUACUCCUAACGAGCUGCUCUUGGGAUGAUUAUGAUGUGCAGAGGGAAAAGGCUGCAACAAGCACAGAGAACGCUGCAGAAGCUCAGCAGGUCUGUCAGCAUCUGAGGAGAGAGAGGAAAACCGAGUUAAUGUUUCAAGCCUGGUGUGACACUUCUUCCAAAAGCAGUGUUGAGUUACGUCAUGAUGAAGUCAGAUCAUGGAACAGAGUUCUGGUGGAAUAAAGCUGUACUGUGCUUCUGUGUAUAGUUUGUAACUAAUAAAUAUUAAUAGUUUUCAUUA